GAAAGUAGCGGACGGGUGAGUAACGCGUAGGUAAUCAACCUUAGACCUAGGGAUAACAUCAAGAAAUUGAUGCUAAAACCUAAUAACAAUUACAAAAAGAGAAGUAGUAAUUCAAAGAUUUAUCAGUCUAAGACGAGCCUGCGACCGAUUAGCUAGUUGGUGAGGUAAGAGCCCACCAAGGCGACGAUCGGUAGCCGACCUGAGAGGGUGAUCGGCCACAUUGGAACUGAGACACGGUCCAAACUCCUACGGGAGGCAGCAGUGGGGGAUAUUGCACAAUGGAGGGAACUCUGAUGCAGCGACGCCGCGUGUGCGAAGAAGGAAUUCGUUUCGUAAAGCACUGUUAUAUGGGAAGAAAAUGACAGUACCAUAAGAGGAAGCCCCGGCUAACUAUGUGCCAGCAGCCGCGGUAAUACAUAGGGGGCAAGCGUUAUCCGGAAUUACUGGGCGUAAAGAGUGAGUAGGCGGAUAUUAAAGUCAGAGGUAAAAUAUAGGGGCUCAACCCCUACCAGCCUUUGAAACUUAAUAUCUUGAGUAUAGGAGAGGAAAGUGGAAUUCCAAGUGUAGAGGUGAAAUUCGUAGAUAUUUGGAAGAAUACCAGUGGCGAAGGCGACUUUCUGGACUAAAACUGACGCUGAUGCACGAAAGCAUGGGUAGCAAACAGGAUUAGAUACCCUGGUAGUCCAUGCCGUAAACGAUGAGCACUAGGUGUCGGGUGUAAAGCUCGGUGCCGGCGUAAACACAAUAAGUGCUCCGCCUGGGGAGUACGUUCGCAAGAAUAAAACUCAAAGGAAUUGACGGGGACCCGCACAAGUAGCGGAGCAUGUGGUUUAAUUCGAAGCAACGCGAAGAACCUUACCUAAGCUUGACAUACCUAUGAAAAGCCAUCAUAAAGAUAGCCCCUGUACUCGUACACAUAGGAUACAGGUGGUGCAUGGUUGUCGUCAGCUCGUGUCGUGAGAUGUUGGGUUAAGUCCCGCAACGAGCGCAACCCUUGUAUCUGGUUGCCAGCACACAAGGUGGGAACUCCAGAUAGACAGUGGAUGACAAAUCCAAGGAAGGUGGGGAUGACGUCAAAUCAUCAUGCCCCUUAUGCUUAGGGCUACACACGUGCUACAAUGGUCGGAACAAAGAGAAGCGAAGAAGCGAUUCGAAGCCAAACUUAAAAAAUCCGAUCCCAGUUCGGAUUGCAGGCUGAAAUUCGCCUGCAUGAAGCCGGAGUUACUAGUAAUCGCAGAUCAGAAUGCUGC
rnacentral:rRNA from 1 species